AUCGCUUCUCAGCCUUUUGGCUAAGAUCAAGUGUAAAUUCCCAAAGGUAGGGCAGUUUGUAGUGAUAAAUAAAUAAAUAAAUAAGAUACAGCCAAAAUGCAGUCUAAGCUUUAUUUUUUUUUUUUUCUUUUGAGGCAGGGUCUCACUCUGUUGCCCAGACUUGAGUGCAGUG
ensembl:snRNA U2 U2 spliceosomal RNA